GAUGAAGAACGCAGCAAAAUGCGAUAAGUAAUGUGAAUUGCAGAAUUCAGUGAAUCAUCGAAUCUUUGAACGCACAUUGCGCCCGCCAGUAUUCUGGCGGGCAUGCCUGUUCGAGCGUCAUUUCAACCCUCAAGCCCUCGGGUUUGGUGUUGGGGAUCGGCGACCCUUUCUGGCAAGCCGGCCCCGAAAUCUAGUGGCGGUCUCGCUGCAGCCUCCAUUGCGUAGUAGUAAAACCCUCGCAACUGGAACGCGGCGCGGCCAAGCCGUUAAACCCCCAACUUCUGAAUGUUGACCUCGGAUCAGGUAGGAAUACCCGCUGAACUUAAGCAUAUCAAUAAGCGGAGGA
rnacentral:misc_RNA from 1 species